UGGGGCGUCGCCAAGCGGUAAGGCAUGGGACUUUGGAUCCCACAUUCGGAGGUUCGAAUCCUCCCGCCCCAGCCA
rnacentral:tRNA from 1 species